GUGUCAUCUCCUGUUUGUGUUGUCUCUAGUGUUCUUGUGCUCUUUUUUUUUUUGUCUGUUGGACCUUUUAGGAUUGCGUUUUCUUGGACAAUUUAAAGUUUUGGAGGCAUGCUUUUGUGUUUAGCUGAACCUUCAACCUUCAAACCCAUUGUUCUCAUAGGAGCCCAGAGGGAACUCUUGAGGGGUGCACCAGACUUUUUUUGACAGAUUACAAUCCAUCCCAUGUGCAGCAAUGCGAGACACUCAGAACAACGGCCAAAGAAGACGCGCACGAGUAGACUGACUGCCAAGCUGAGAGGGCUAAUCAGGACCUCGAGAAGACUCUCCGCUGCCAUGUAUCGGCCAACCCAGGCUCCUGGUCCUCCCAACUUCCUUGGGUCAAGUUUUCCCAUAACACCCUGCCAUCCUCUGCUACAGGUAUGUCACCAUUCCAAUGCCUCAAUGGUUAUCAACCACCCCUUUUCCCAGCUCAGGGGAAGGACAUCCUGAUCCCAUCGGUCCAUGCCCACAUCCGUCGUUGCCAGAAGACCUGGCAUCAAGCUCGCUCUGCCCUGUUGAGAUCCUCCGAUAGAUACCAAAGACAAGCUAAUCGCCGGCACACCCCAGCUCCUAAUUACACCCCUGGAGACAGGGUAUGGCUCUCAACUAAGGUUCUGCCAAUAAAAACUGAUGCUAAGAAUCUGUCCCCCAGAUUCAUUGGACCAUUUACUGCAGAAAGGUUCCAAUGAAUCCAAUGGUUGUCUAGCUGAAACUCCCCCGUACCAUGCGAAUCCACCCUUCAUUUCAUAUGUCCCGUUUGAAGCCUGUCUCCUCUAGCCCUCUCCUUCCCCAGGCCCCUCCCCCUCCACGAUUAUAGACCAUCAUCCUGCCUAUACUGUACAAAGCAUCCUGAACUCUCGCCGUCGUGGGGUGCAGUCCUUGGUUGACUGGGAGGGUUACGGCCAAGAGAAGAGGAGCUGGAUUCCCCAUCUGCUGAUCCUGGACCCUUCCCUUGUCCGGACGUUUCCCGACCGGCACCCGGACAAACCUGGGAGGUCGCCCAGAGGUGCCCGUUAGUGGGGGGAUACUGUCACAGUUCCUCCUCUGUGUGUUUUUGUUUUCCCCUCUCCCUCCUGCAUGGUCUCCUGCACUGUCUGCUCACCUGCACUGGAUCUGCAAACACACUCCUGCCAGCCAUCAUCCAAUCACCACUGCCAAUAAGAACCCUGCACUGACACCCAAUCCCUGCCGGAUCGCAUGCCUACAUGGAUCCAUCAGCACCCAGCUCUGCCACCUUCCUCACUCACCUGCCUGUUCAUCACCUUCUGGAUCCCUCCCUCAGCAACCCAGGACCCCCACCAGCUAUCCCUUCACCCUGCACUUUUACAAUAAAACAUUGGGAAACAAGA